GACGUCGGGGGCGAGCGUUGUCCGGAUUUAUUGGGCGUAAAGCGCGCGUAGGCGGUCCGUUAAGUCGGAUGUGAAAAUCCGGGGCUCAACCCCGGACCUGCAUCCGAUACUGGCGGGCUGGAGGCAGGUAGGGGAGAUCGGAAUUCCUGGUGUAGCGGUGAAAUGCGCAGAUAUCAGGAGGAACACCGGUGGCGAAGGCGGAUCUCUGGGCCUGUCCUGACGCUCAGGCGCGAAAGCUAGGGGAGCAAACAGG
rnacentral:rRNA from 1 species